CAGCCUCAACCUACUGAGCAAUAGGCGUUCUUGAAAGGCCACUGCUUGAUCGUGGCUCUGCAGCUUCAAGGAUCCCACAGAGCUCAUGGGAGGGAAAAUCCAGCGUCGUGUCUGCCCAGGAGUGAGCCUGAGACAUGUGCCUGAGACACCAUUGCUUUCAUGGACCAAGGCUGAUCAUUAGUGUCCCCAGCUCUGAAGAUUUCUCACUCAGAUCAUACAAAGCAGUCCAGUCACUGCACACCCUAAAUGACCAGAUAUCCCAUUUUAUUGUCACCAAGUCAAAGGCGCUGGAGGAGGACCAAGACCCUUUUCUUCCCACUGAGAAGGAGACACUCAAGAGUUCCAUGAUAUUGAUGAGGCACCUCUUAAUGGAUGCUCAGGUAGGGAAACAUGGAGCAAGAUAUGGUGGAUAUUCUGCUAAGUCAUACAUUCUAAAAGGAGGAUCAGUUGGAUCUUUCUCCAGAGAAAAAUGAUCAUAGAA